rnacentral:ncRNA from 1 species
ACAAAGGAGUUUAUCAUGCACGCAAGUCAAUGGAUCCAAAGAAACCUAAAGGCGCAGUUAAGUCUCGAAUUGUUCUCGGGAUGUGGUGAGAUGCAAUUGUUUAUCGUUUCUUGCCUUGCGCGUACAGCACCAGGCACAAGAGCAGUUGUCACACCACCGGCCCGUCCCAAAAUGCGGUCGUUGGUAAGGUAGGAAUCGUUCUUCGGUCGGCGUUGGAGCCGGCGCGUCCUUGGGGCGGAGCAGGAGCGCGCACGAUAAGGCCCGAAAUAUGGUGAACUAUGCUUGCGUAGGCUGAAGCCAGAGGAAACUCUGGUGGAGGACCGAUGGAAUUCUGUUGUGAAAACUGAUCGUCAAACGUGAGUAUAGGGGGUGAAACACCAAUUGAAAUAUGUAGUAGCUGGUUCCCUCCGACGUUUCCCUCGGGAUAGCUGGCACUCAUUCGCAAGUUCAGUUUUAUCCGCUGAAAGCGACGAUUAGAGGUACUUGGUUCGAAACGAGCUAAACUAUUCUACAACUUUAAAUGGGUGAGAUGUGCAGGUUCCCUCUAUAGGAGUCGGGCGCUGAAUGUGCCUGUGCCAAGUGGGCCAUUUGUGGUAAGCAGAACAAGUGCUGUGAGAUGAACCAAAUGCCUCGUUAAUCUGCUGAAAUUCUGACGCCCAUGAGAUAUCACAAAAGACGUGGGUUAAUAUAGACAUUAACGGUGGCCAUGGGCGUCGGUUUCCACUAAGGAUUGUGUUCAAACUCACCUUCCCUAAUUGCCCAGCCGUGAAAAUGGAUGGCAUUGGAGCGCUGAACCUAUACCGGGCCGUCACCGCAAACUGGAUCGCUGGCUACGUUUGGUGGUGCGAGCAGCACGUGGCCAGUUGCUUGCACAACAAUUGGUCGCUGACUUGCGAAGUCAGGAUCCAGGCGAGGAUGCGUAGGUGAGUAGGAGGGUCACCACUGUGAGCGUGGAAGCUCGGAUGUGAGUUAACGUGUAGCCACCACGGCUGCAGAUCUUGUUGGACGUCACAAAUAUUCAAGUGCGAACCUUGACAGCCGAGGGGGAGAAGGGUUCCGUGGGAACAGUAGUUGGCCAUGGAUCAGUUGAUCCUAAGCGACCUGACGUGUCGUUACAGAGACAUGGGGUGCCUUGCACAAUUCUGUCUGUGUGUUUUUGCGCGUUCCACCUGCAUCCCCCCAGAUCGAAAGAGAAUUCGGUUAAUAUUCCCGACCCUGCCCACGGAGAUAGGCAAAUUUUUGGCUGGGCCAUCAAUGUGUGCGCUGUUUUGGCGUAUAGAGGUGUGGUUCGGGUCUGGGCGCUGCUAAGUGCGGUAACGCAAACGAGCUCGGAGACAUCAGCUGGAUUUCCGCGAAGAUUUUGUUUUCUUUGUAAGGAUUUCUCACCACCCCUGGAAUCAUGUUGUCCGGAGAUAGAGGUAUCGCCUCCGUAAAGCACCACCCCUUUUGUGGUGUCCGGAACACUCUGGUCGGUCCUUGAAAAUCCAAAGGAAGGUAUUAUGAUUUUCGUGGCUGACCGUACUCAUAUCUGCACCUGGUAUCCAAGUUGAACAGCCUCUGACA